UGGGGAAUAUUGGGCAAUGGGCGAAAGCCUGACCCAGCGACGCCGCGUGAAGGAUGAAGGUCUUCGGAUUGUAAACUUCUUUGAUCAGGGAAGAAAGAAAUGACGGUACCUGAAAAACAAGCCACGGCUAACUACGUGCCAGCAGCCGCGGUAAUACGUAGGUGGCAAGCGUUGUCCGGAUUUACUGGGUGUAAAGGGCGUGUAGGCGGGGAUGCAAGUCAGAUGUGAAAUCCCGCGGCUCAACCGCGGAACUGCAUCUGAAACUGCGUCUCUUGAGUGUCGGAGGGGAAAGUGGAAUUCCUAGUGUAGCGGUGAAAUGCGUAGAGAUCGGGAGGAACACCAGUGGCGAAGGCGGGUAACUGGACUGCAACUGACGCUGAGGCGCGAAAGUGUGGGGAGCAAACAGG
rnacentral:rRNA from 1 species